rnacentral:misc_RNA from 1 species
GGAAGUAAAAGUCGUACAAGGUUUCCGUAGGUGAACCUGCGGAAGGAUCAUUAUCGUACAAAAUGUGAGGGGCAUGCGAGGGCUGUCGCUGACCCAAAAGUCGUGCACGCCCGAGUGUGUCCUCUUGCAUAAUAAUCCAUCUCACCCUUUGUGCAUCACCGCGUGGGCACCCUUCGGGAUCAUCUCGGAGGGGGGCUCGCGUUUUCACACAAACCCCCCUUUUAAAAGUGUAGAAUGACCACAUUUAUGCAAUCAAUACAACUUUCAACAACAGAUCUCUUGGCUCUC